GACGAACGCUGGCGGCGUGCUUAACACAUGCAAGUCGAACGGAAAGGCCCUGCUUUUGUGGGGUGCUCGAGUGGCGAACGGGUGAGUAACACGUGAGUAACCUGCCCUUGACUUUGGGAUAACAUCAGGAAACUGGGGCUAAUACCGGAUAGGAGCUCCUGCUGCAUGGUGGGGGUUGGAAAGUUUCGGCGGUGGGGGAUGGACUCGCGGCUUAUCAGCUUGUUGGUGGGGUAGUGGCUUACCAAGGCUUUGACGGGUAGCCGGCCUGGGAGGGUGACCGGGCACAUUGGGACUGAGGUAGGGCCCAGACGCCUACGGGAGGCAGCGGGGGGGAAUAUUGCGCAGUGGGCGGAAGCGUGAUGCAGCGGCGCCGCGUGCGGGAUGACGGCCUUCGGGUUGUAAACCGCUUUCGCCUGUGACGAAGCGUGAGUGACGGUAAUGGGUAAAGAAGCACCGGCUAACUACGUG
rnacentral:rRNA from 1 species